rnacentral:lncRNA from 1 species
ACAAACACACACAGGCCUGAGCUCCGGAUAUUUCUCCUGUUCUGGAGACAGUGAGAAGUGAAAGAGAAAUGGCUGCCCCUGCACCACUUACCGCGAAGGAGGCUCAAGGCUGGGGGGCCCCUCUGCCUUCCAGUGACCGCCCGUGUCACAUCCUGACCCGCUCAGCAGGAGAACACAGCAGGUCCCUCCGACCGCAGUCGGCCUCUCCAGCCUGCCAUGCCUCUGGCCAUGAGGCGACCCGCUGGAGUGAUGGAUUCCCGUCACUACCACCCACAGGGCGAGGGGGUGCAUUGGUCUGCUUGGGCCGCUGUAACAAAAUGCCACAGCCUGGAUGAGUGACUGACAUUGCUUCCCCACCGUUCUGGAGGCUGGAGGCCCGAGAUCGAGGUCCCUGACACUAUUUCAGUGAUGCCAGAGCCCAGGAGGAGUCGACCAAGCCCCAGCGUGGCCAUAAGCACCUUCGCAGGACCACGGAGUCGCUGCAGGUGUUCAGCCCUGUUGAGAGUGGGAGUCGGUGUCGAUGGUCACAGCUCAGUAACUCAUCGUCACCAGCGAGUACCACAGAGCAGACACAACUGCACUUCUCUGUAGAGCCUCCAGUCGAUACUGAGAGCCACUGGGGCGUCUGACACCCAAGGGUGCAGACAUUCACUCCAAGUCCAGAGACCGCGCCCUUUCUAAGGCCCUGUCUCACAGUCGCCCCGUGCUCAUUGUGCCGGAUGUUUCCACAGCCACAGAGACGGUGCGUGAAGGUGAGGUGCAGCCUAGUGCAUAUGACUGACAGAAACGUGAAGCCACAGUGGACGCCUGGAUGAGACACAGAUCACCUUCCAAAUCUGAGUGUGGCCUUGGGACCAACCAGGCAGCCAGGGAGAAGGCAGAGACCAGAGGGAACCCAGGUGCCCUCAAUCCCAGCCUCCUCUAUCCCAGCCUCCCAAUCCCAGCCUCCCCAAUCCCAGCCUCCUAAUCCCAGCCUCCUCCAUCCCAGGACCCCCACUCCCAGCCUCCCGAUCCCAGCUUCUCUGAUCCCAGCCUCCCCUAAAACCCAGACUCUAUGAAUCCCAGCCUCUGAGGUGGGAACUGUUAGUAACCCCACUCCAUGGACAAGAAAGCUGGGGCCUGGCGAGGCUAACAGACUAUCCUGAUGGUGUGAGGGAGGGAUCGGCCUCUGAGGGCUGCUUCCACCCAUCUCACCAGUGGCUGCAGGCUCCAGGCGCCACUUUCCUUGAGUCUAUGUUCUUUCCAAGCAUCCUGCAGCUCCAGAAGCUCUGGAGCCGCCAGCACUGAGAGAAGCGAUGGAGCUGCAUGCAGGGAAACUUUGUUGACAGCGGUGUCUGGAUGGACCAGCAGAGGGCACUCUCACCCACGGGGAAAAUCGUGCGCCCGGCCUCGUCCACCGCCAGAAGACGCCGCUACACAAUGGAGUCUCGCUCUGUCGACCAGGCUGGAGUGCAAUGGUGCGAUCUCGGCUCACUGCAAUCUCUGCCUCCCGGUGAGAGGUGAAGCCAGCUGGACUUCCUGGGUCUAGUGGGGACUUGGAGAACUUUUCUGUCUAGCUAAAGAUUUGUAAAUGCACCAAUCAGUGCUGUGUCUAGCUAAAGUUUGUAAACGUACCAAUCAGCACUCUGUAAAAAUGGGCCAAUCAGCACUCUGUAAAAUGGACCAAUCAGCACUCUGUAAAAUGGACCAGUCAGCAGGAUGUGGGCGGGGUCAAAUAAAGGAAUAAAAAGCUGGUAGCCGAGCCGGCAGUGGCA